rnacentral:rRNA from 1 species
ACGGGUGAGUAAUACAUCGGAACGUAUCCUGGAGUGGGGGAUAGCCCGGCGAAAGCCGGAUUAAUACCGCAUACGCUCUGAGGAGGAAAGCGGGGGACCUUCGGGCCUCGCGCUCAAGGGGCGGCCGAUGGCGGAUUAGGUAGUUGGUGGGGUAAAGGCCUACCAAGCCGACGAUCCGUAGCUGGUCUGAGAGGACGACCAGCCACACUGGGACUGAGACACGGCCCAGACUCCUACGGGAGGCAGCAGUGGGGAAUUUUGGACAAUGGGGGCAACCCUGAUCCAGCAAUGCCGCGUGUGUGAAGAAGGCCUUCUGGUUGUAAAGCACUUUUGUCCGGAAAGAAAUCAUCGGGGCCAAUACCCCUGGUGGAUGACGGUACCGGAAGAAUAAGCACCGGCUAACUACGUGCCAGCAGCCGCGGUAAUACGUAGGGUGCGAGCGUUAAUCGGAAUUACUGGGCGUAAAGCGUGCGCAGGCGGUGCUGUAAGACCGAUGUGAAAUCCCCGGGCUUAACCUGGGAACUGCAUUGGUGACUGCAGCGCUGGAGUAUGGCAGAGGGGGGUGGAAUUCCACGU